rnacentral:rRNA from 1 species
UACGUAGGGUGCGAGCGUUGUCCGGAAUUACUGGGCGCAAAGAGCUCGUAGGUGGUUUGUCGCGUUGUCCGUGAAAACUCACAACUCAAUUGUGGGCGUGCGGGCGAUACGGGCAGACUGGAGUACUGCAGGGGAGACUGGAAUUCCUGGUGUAGCGGUGGAAUGCGCAGAUAUCAGGAGGAACACCGGUGGCGAAGGCGGGUCUCUGGGCAGUAACUGACGCUGAGGAGCGAAAGCGUGGGGAGCGAACAGG